rnacentral:rRNA from 1 species
AUACGUAGGUGGCAAGCGUUGUCCGGAAUUAUUGGGCGUAAAGCGCGCGCAGGUGGUUCCUUAAGUCUGAUGUGAAAGCCCCCGGCUCAACCGGGGAGGGUCAUUGGAAACUGGGGAACUUGAGUGCAGAAGAGGAUAGUGGAAUUCCAAGUGUAGCGGUGAAAUGCGUAGAGAUUUGGAGGAACACCAGUGGCGAAGGCGACUGUCUGGUCUGUAACUGACACUGAGGCGCGAAAGCGUGGGGAGCAAACAGGAUUAGAUACCCUGGUAGUCCACGCCGUAAACGAUAAGUGCUAAGUGUUGGGGGGUUUCCGCCCCUCAGUGCUGCAGCUAACGCAUUAAGCACUCCGCCUGGGGAGUACGGUCGCAAGACUGAAACUCAAAUGAAUUGACGG